rnacentral:lncRNA from 1 species
AGGUAAUGUAGUUUCUCUUACAGUUAGAUGGUUAACUUUAAUAUUCAGUCUUAACACAGGCACUAUAGGAUUAUCUACAGUGGAAGCAGGACACCUUACCAAGUCAGCAGGAUCUCAGUGGGGGAAUUAUCAUGUCUGCAAUUUUCAUAAAGACUUCAUGAGGCAUUUUCAAACAGAAGUGUGUGGUUUUCUGGAGGAAUCUACCUGCAGGAGCAGACCUUAAUCCAGCCCUGCAAGAGCUCCAUAAUGGAGACUCUAGACCUGCUGUUCUAGUUGUGCCUCAUAUCACAUCUAACCCUG